GUUUGACCCAAGUAGCUGUGAAUUAUCUUAUUGGCCAAAAGGAAGCAAAACGUUGGGGCACAGCUCAUGGCAGUAUUGUUCCUUACCAGGCUUUUAAAACCAAGGAUGGCUAUCUUGUAGUUGGAGCAGGAAAUAACCAACAGUUUGCUACUGUGUGCAAGAUCUUGAAUUUACCUGAGUUGAUCGAUGACUACAAGUAUAAAACCAAUGAUCUUCGGGUGCAGAAUAGAAAAGAGCUUAUUAAAAUACUAUCUGCAAGGU